GUAGGGAAUCUUCCGCAAUGGACGCAAGUCUGACGGAGCAACGCCGCGUGAGUGACGAAGGUUUUCGGAUCGUAAAACUCUGUUGUGAGGGAAGAACACGUACCAACUAACUAUUGGUACCUUGACGGUACCUCACCAGAAAGCCACGGCUAACUACGUGCCAGCAGCCGCGGUAAUACGUAGGUGGCAAGCGUUGUCCGGAAUUAUUGGGCGUAAAGCGCGCGCAGGCGGUUCCGUAAGGCUGAUGUGAAAGCCGACGGCUCAACCGUGGAGGGUCAUUUGAAACUGGGGAACUUGAGUGCAGAAGAGGAAAGUGGAAUUCCACGUGUAGCGGUGAAAUGCGUAGAGAUGUGGAGGAACACCAGUGGCGAAGGCGACUUUCUGGUCUGUAACUGACGCUGAGGCGCGAAAGCGUGGGGAGCAAACAGGAUUAGAAACCCCUGUAGUCC
rnacentral:rRNA from 1 species